rnacentral:misc_RNA from 1 species
GAUGAAGAACGCAGCAAAAUGCGAUAAGUAGUGUGAAUUGCAGAAUUCAGUGAAUCAUCGAAUCUUUGAACGCACAUUGCGCCCGCCAGUAUUCUGGCGGGCAUGCCUGUUCGAGCGUCAUUUCAACCAUCAAGCCCCCGGCUUGUGUUGGGGACCUGCGGCUGCCGCAGGCCCUGAAAAGCAGUGGCGGGCUCGCUGUCACACCGAGCGUAGUAGCAUACAUCUCGCUCUGGGCGUGCUGCGGGUUCCGGCCGUUAAACCACCUUCAUAACCCAAGGUUGACCUCGGAUCAGGUAGGAAGACCCGCUGAACUUAAGCAUAUCAAUAAGCGGAGGA